rnacentral:tRNA from 1 species
GAGUAGAUAGUCCAAACAAGAUAGUUGAUUUCGGCUCAACAGAUUAUGGUUUAAACCCAUAUCCGCUCU